CCUACGGGUGGCAGCAGUGAGGAAUAUUGGUCAAUGGACGCAAGUCUGAACCAGCCAUGCCGCGUGCAGGAAGACGGCUCUAUGAGUUGUAAACUGCUUUUGUACGAGGGUAAACGCAGAUACGCGUAUCUGUCAGAAAGUAUCGUACGAAUAAGGAUCGGCUAACUCCGUGCCAGCAGCCGCGGUAAUACGGAGGAUUCAAGCGUUAAUCGGAUUUAUUGGGUUUAAAGGGUGCGUAGGCGGUCGGAUAAGUUAGAGGUGAAAUCCCGAGGCUCAACUGCGGAAUUGACUCUGAUACUGUUCGGCUAGAGAGUAGUUGCGGUAGGCGGAAUGUAUGGUGUAGCGGUGAAAUGCUUAGAGAUCAUACAGAACACCGAUUGCGAAGGCAGCUUACCGGCUCCACACUGACGCUGAGGCACGAAAGCGUGGGUAUCGAACAGGAUUAGAUACCCGAGUAGUC
rnacentral:rRNA from 1 species